rnacentral:rRNA from 1 species
GACGAACGCUGGCGGCGUGCUUAACACAUGCAAGUCGAACGGAGAGGCUCUGCUUUUGUGGGGUGCUCAAGUGGCGAACGGGUGAGUAACACGUGUGUAGCCUGCCCUUGACUUUGGGAUACCUUCAGGAACCUGGGGCUAAUACCCGAUAUAAGCUCCUUCUGCAUGGGGUGGGUUUGAAAGUGUCGGUGGUUGGUGAUGGACUCGUGGCUUAUCGGCUUGUUGGUGGGGUAGUGGCUUACCAAGGCAUGGACGAGUAGCCGGCCUGAGAGGGUGACCGGCCACAUAGGGCCUGAGGUGCGACCCGUACUGCAACGGGAGGCAGCGGUGGAGAAUAUAGCACACUACGCGGAAGCCUGAUGCAACAACGCCGCGUCGGGGAAGUCGGCCGUCGGGUUGGAACCCGCUUUCGCCUGUGACGAAGCGUGAGUGACGGUAACGGGUAAAGAAGCACCGGCUAACUACGUG